ACUUGAGUCUAGGAGUUCGAGACCAGCCUGGCCAACACAGUGAAACCCCGUCUCUACUAAAAAUACAAGGCCGGGCGCGGUGGCUCACGCCUGCAGUCCCAGCACUUUGGGAGGCCGAGGCGGGCGGAUCACGCCGUCAGAAGAUCAAGACCAUCCUGGCUAACAAGGUGAAACCCUGUCUCUACUAAAAAUACAAAAAAUUAGCUGGGUGUGGCGGCACGUGCCUGUAGUCCCAGCUACUUGGGAGGCUGAGGCAGGAGAAUGGCUAGAACCCGGGAGGUGGAGUUUGCGGUGAGCCGAGAUCACACCACUGCACUCCAGCCUGGGGGACAGAGUAAAGUGACUUAGAAAACUAGGCUUAUUAAAACUCUGCCUUACAAACUGGGCAGACUAGAUGUCUUGGUAAUAAUUAGAAGAUUAUUAUCAAUAAUCUUCUAAUUAUUAUAAUGAUAAUUAGAAGAUUAUACGGGGGCACUUGCUCUGUGCUAGGCACUGUUCUAAGGGGUUUAUUAUUUAAUCCUUGCAACAACCCUAUAAGGUGCUACUAUUGUUCCCAUUUCACAGAUGGGGAAACCGAGGCACCGUGCGGUUAAAUCACUUGUCUAAGUUAGUCAGUGCUGAAGAUAGAUUUAUAACCAGGCCAUCUAGCCCCAGAGUCGAUGCUCCAUUCCCCACCGCAAGCUUAUACCUGAGCUAUAAGCCCUCAUCCGCCAGUCAGGGUCCAACCAGAGGCAACUCCAGUGGGCUCUUUUCACCUGGGCUGGUGGUUGGGAAUUCAGGAGCUACGUGAACUUGGAUAGGGGAAACUUUUUUUACCUCUCCUUUUACUACACUUUAAUCUAGCAGUUCUCAAAAUGUGGUCUGGGGGCACCUGUGGGUCCGCAAGACCUUUCUCAGGGGCUAGUGAGGUCAAAAGUAUUUUCAUAAUGAUAUUAAGACGUUUGUCCUUUUCAUUCUCCAGAGACUACCUGACCUGUGAUAAUGUCAUCACUCUGAUGGCUAAUAGAAAUAUAUGCAUGUAUAUUCGUGUGUUUUUAAAACUUCUCGUUUUCAGCCAGGUUCAUGCCUGUAGUCCCAGCUACUCGGGAGGCUGAGGCUCGAAAAUCGCAUGAACCCAGGAGGCAGAGGUUGUAAUGAGCCAAGAUCGUGUUACUGUGCUCCAGCCUGGGCAACAGAGUGAAACUCUGUCUCAAAACAAAAACAAAACACACACACACACAAAACCAAAAAACAAACACAAAAACAAAACAACAACAACAAAAAAACCCCCCAACACCUUGUAUCACAAUAGCACUGGUUUCCUUUGUAUUUCUGUGUAUUUAUAUUAUGCAUGUAACGACAUGAUCCUGAGAAGGGCUUGACCAGCUUGCCAUAGGCAUCUUUAGCACAAAAAAGCUUAGGAACCUCCCAUUCUGGACGAACUAAGAAUACGGGGAGGUUAUAAUUGGGGGCCACAGGAGUGGCAGGUACUCAAGUUUGGUUAUGAGAGCUACUUUCAUUAUAUUUUAGGCUGUAAUGGAGACUCUGGAAGUGGGAAGAAAAAAAAAAAAACUCAAACAGUGCAAAGGGCUCGUUUUGAUUUUCCCACACUCCUAGUGCCAAUUUCUGAAAUUGGUGUCCACAAUCAGUAGAAGCCUAUGUGCUCUGAAUUUACAAAGCCAAGUGGUGGCGGGUCAUUGUAUCUGCAGUCAGGAAGGGGAAACGACUGGAAAUCCGGGCCCCCCCAGUUCUUCCCUGCUUCUCUUUUUGUGGCAGCCGCUCCUCACGUUCAAACAGAUUGCAAAGGUUUACAGGGGAGAACCCUAACUUGUUCCCUAGACGUCAGUUUCUGGAGUUCCUGCAUUAAUACGAUUAAAAAGAACAGCUGAUUCUUAUCCAGCCCUUACUCUGGGCCGGGCCCUGUUAUCGGCAUGAAAUUUCAUGCAGCAACUCGUUUACUCCUCACAACAGCCCACGGGGUAUAUACGAGCAUCACCUCCUUUUUACAGGUGAAAAAACCCAAGGUCCAGCGAGGUUGAAUAACUCACCUAGGUCGCACAGCUCAGAAAGCCCACUGCAAUUCCGGGAUUCUGGUUUUGUUUUGAGGUUGCCCCGGGCUUCUGAGGAGGGGUCAGUGGGCUCAGCAUGGAAAGGAAGGAAGCCGGAAGGCUGGAGGAAGAUGCAGCGAGGCUGGAAAGGUUGGGGAUCCCCCGGUCCUGCACACCUGGGUACCUGGGGAUCGGGCAGGGCCAGGAUAGGGGCCGGUGUCCGUGCCCUGGGGCUCCCCAGCUGAUGAGUGGGCGCCUGAGGGACGAGCGCAGGGUUACCUGCCUGGGCUCUCACCUGGUGGCCGGCUCAGAGGUGGCGCGCCGGAGACGUAUCAUAACCUUCCUGGGUCCCCCUUCCCGCGCCACGCCCUGGUGGGGUGGGCGGGUGGGUGUGGGGCGCCCAGGCAGGACCGGCCGGACCUGUGGGACCCGGGGCCCUGGCUGUCUAGGGAGGCUGUCACCCCGAGGCGACCGGCUCUUCCGGGGCUGGGACGGCUGUAGGCGGCAAGAGGCCUCGGCACCCGCGAACUCAUAAAUACCGGGGCGGCGCUGGUGGCGGGAGAGGCGCGUGCGGGCAGCCGGCGCCCCCGAGGGUGAGCCGGGGUCCGGGAGGGCGUCCCCUUUCCCGGAUGGUCCCGACCCGGCUCCAUCCUGGCAGCUGGAGACGGAGCUGGAGCAGGCGGGAAAGCGCUGGAGAGAAGGGGGGUGGGUACAGAUGGGGGAAGGGCAGGGACGCUGGGGAUGGGGAGAGAGGAUGCGGCCGCUCUGGCCAUGAUGGGCUCUAAAGGAUCUGGGGGUGGUGUGGGAGGAUUGGGGUCACUAGGAGCAAAAUAGAAGGCUAAGGAUGGAGUAGGGAGGCGAGGUCCCGGGGGCAGGCGGGAAUGCUUGGAAUCUCGGGAGUAGGUAGGAGAACUGGGGUUUCUAACAGCAGGAUGGAAAGCUGGGGAUGGGGCUGCGGAAUGCAACCUCCUACACAGCCUCCACCCCGCUCCCAGACCCCCAGCACUGAGAGUGAGCUCUGGUUAGGAGCAAGGCUCUGGAAUCAGG
rnacentral:lncRNA from 1 species